AGGACGAACGCUGGCGGCGUGCUUAACACAUGCAAGUCGAGCGAGGCCCGUUCCUUCGGGAACGGUGCCCUAGCGGCGAACGGGUGAGUAACACGUGAGUAAUCUGCCCCUAGCUCUGGGAUAGCUCCGGGAAACCGGGAUUAAUACCGGAUAUGACCACUUUAGACAUCUGCUGUGGUGGAAAGAAUUUCGGCUAGGGAUGAGCUCGCGGCCUAUCAGCUUGUUGGUGGGUAACGGCCUACCAAGGCGACGACGGGUA
rnacentral:rRNA from 1 species